UAAGGACAAUUGAAUGGCCGCGGUAACACUGACCGUGAUAAUGUAGCGUAAUCAAUAGCCAAUUAAUUGUUGGCCAGUAUGAAUGGCGCCACGAAGGCCCCACUGUCUUAAGGAAAUUCCCAGUGAAAUUGAAUUCGUAGUGAAGAUGCUACGUGCAAUUUGUUAGACGAAAAGACCCCGUUGAGCUUUACUGGAGCACUUACAUGGCCCUGGCCUUCCCAUGCUUGGGAAUCGGCCGAAUUUAAAUGGGCGGCUUAGAUUAUGUGGCAGCCCCCCGCUGGGGCAAAUGAAACCCCACUCCCCCAUGUCAAAGGGGCUAACCCCCCCCCUUGGGGGGACAGUGUAAGUAGGACAGUUUGGUUGGGGCGACCGCCUUUUAAAGAGUAACGAAGGU
rnacentral:rRNA from 1 species